CAGACAGACAGACAGACAGAGCGCAAACUGCAAGAGGUGAAAUGUGCUCGGUUCCAUUUUCUUCUCAGUCUUCAUAUCACCAUGAAAGGACGAUUCAGUCUCUUAACAAAACGGAGCUGCAUUUAAAUAUGUUUUGCUGUUCAUCAUUUCCAACAUAUUUUCGACAGAUGCUUUCCUGAGUUUUUUUGCGCACUUGGUGCAAAUGUCUCAUCAUCAUUCUGCUUUUCAGCUGUUGUUGAAUGUGAAAGGAUCCAAACUUGAGCUGGAAAUGGAUUCUCCGAAACGAGCUCCUGUCAUGGAGAGAAAAACGAGCUCCAUCACAUGAUAGACGACGUGCGUCGGUGGCUCAAAGACAGUCAUCAUUCAGUCUGCGGGGCAGAGGAUGUUCUGCAACAGAAAACACUCCAUGUCUCAACAUAAUACAGCAAUGCGCAAGAGGAGAUGCAGAUCACAGCCUGUGGGGCAGUUGGGGCACUUUUCUAAGGAAGUGUACACCCUUGAGGAUACUGCAGUUCAAACAAUAACUAUAUAAAUGUAGACUAACAUAAGACAAUGUAGUAUUUUACGGAGUUCAUCUGUUCGUGAGUACUAAAACAAGCAAUACAUUCUCUCUCCUAACAUGUCAGGGCCAGACAGCUGCCUCCCUGCCCAGCUAUGGCUCCCCCUAGCCGUGCCUCCAUAUUUCCUUGUUAAUGCACACCAUAAUGCCCUGACCCUCCCUGCUCUAUCACACAGCAUUGACACCAAAAUACCUCAAAACCUCACUUUCUCUGUCUAAAUGUGAAGUAUAUAGUCUCCAUCUGCCAUCCAGCCAACAUUGGGCACCAUUGGCCACAGCAGAAGAGAGGAUUUCUUACCUUUUGACAGUGUCUGUGGCUAUGCCUUCCUCUUCAAAGUCCCAACCUCGACAGCCUCCUUCUUCUUCCCAGCAAUCCCUGCAAAAAAGGACACUUCCAUGUAUGUUGAAUAUGUAGGGGUGAUCAAAUUGGACUAAACUAAUUCUAAAGAGCCCAGAGGGCCCCUAAAACCCAGACAUUGCUCCUUUGACCCCAAAUAUCAUCAAGGUCCAAAUUGACAUUUUAAAAUGGCAUGCCAAUGACAUAAAAGAGUAAAGCCCACUCCUCAAAUACAUGAUGUCCCACCCCUAUGGUUUCAACUUAUUUUGGUCCAUCCAGUAGUCAUACAGUUGAUACUGAAGCGCAAUUGUCAGUUAAUGCGCAGCUGAAAUCUCAUGCGCUUUCUGCUUCCUUUUGUGCGUUUGCCAAGCCCUGGAGCAUCUUUGGGAGGCUACAAAUAGUCCAUUGGUGGUAUUUAUGAGUAAAAGAGACCCUUUUCUUGUGAACAUGACCAUAAAAACCGGAAGGAAAAUAUGUUCAUCUGCGUAGAAUCUAACCAGGCAAAGAGAGAGCUAUGGAUCCAAAUGGACCUCUCCAAAAGUGCACAGGUGCAUCCAAAGGCACAGAAAACUCUCUUAUGGCUUCAGGAGAAAAAAAGAAGAAGUUUGUCCGGCUUAAAGGGUAAUUAUGAUAGCAAUUAUCUUUAGAUUUGACCAAUAGUACUCAACCAUUAAAGCUACACUCAAAGAUUGUCAAAUUUAAAGUCCAUUUGAAAGCUAACUGCAUCGAGAAAAACUUACCAAAUGGCGCAGCUGGCACUUUAGACCGUAACGGUCUAAAUAUUUAAAUAUUUUCACAUAUUUAAAUAUAUAACUUGCUUAAAUAUGUUUGUGUUAAUACUGACAGCACUGUAGCAUAUAGCUCACAAAUUGAAAUGACCGUCUAUCUGACCAACAGUAGCAACCAAGCAGACUAGAACCGGAGCUAUCAACGCACCAAUUCAGUGCGCCAAAGAAGCCCUAGUCUGGUUCUUCAUCCAGGCCUGAAUAAGCAACAAUUUAGUCCUGAAGCACAAAAAAUAUAUGGUCUAAAAUCCUUGCAGACAGAUAAAAUGGAUUAUUAGGCGGGGGAAAGACUGCGCCGGCAGUUGAAGCUGUUUUCCCCAAAAUAAACUCCUAUGCAAAUUAUGUUGGCAGCUUCCAGCAAAGCGUUAAAGGACAAUCCUGUUCCCUUCAAAGCCUGACUGAUGCCUGUGAUGUUUACGUCGUACAUAACAACAGCACAUAGGCACAAAUAUGAUGGGCGUUUGCCUCGUUGCGUGUCCAGACCUGAGCUUGUAGCAGGUUAAAGACCCCGCAUCCCACUGAGAUACCAAGCCUCAGGCAACAGCAACACAAGAGAAGCCUUGUCUUAUCUUCGGUUUGUAGCCUAGUGGAAGAAAAAAAUGAAAUAUAAAGACGAGUGUCCGUUAGAAACAAUAAAGCCUUCUUUAUCUGCUCAGAAAUGACCGUCCACAUCAACGCUCAGACCGUAUUGCUGGGAAAAGCAGACGCAUAUGUAGCUCUUUAUUCAGUAGGCUACCAGCACAGCCGGAGCUCCAGCCGGACGGACGCACGCCUGUCCUCAUUGUGCAUUUGCCGCAGCAGCUGUCAAACAGAUCAAAUUUCACACUCAAGUCACAGUGCGAUGAAUACUCACAGGUCCUAUAGGUCUAUAUGUGAUGCUGUAAUAACCACACUUGUGCAACAUCAGCUGUGCGUCGGUUGGUGGUCAAAAUGCGUAAUAUUUAGGCUGCAGGGUGACAAACAGCUUCUGUGGCAAGACCGCCUUGCUUUUUUAGCUGGGGGCCAGGAGGAGCGCUUUGUUGACGGUUUGAAAGCCGCAUUAAUUAUGUCUGGCAGUAAGUGUGAACAAAACAAAAAGCACAGUACUGUGAGUACAAAUCAGCUGCAAUGACUCCCUGUUAAUAUCGGUAAUAUUUCGUAUUUAUCAUUUUGUGAUUUUGGAUUGCCUAUUCUCUUACUGAAAGCUUAUCUAUUUGAAUAAAACAAUUAUUUGAGCAUACAG